UCCUCAGUAGCUCAAUGGCAGAGCACUCGGCUGUUAACCGGGGUGUUGUAAGUUCGAGUCUUACCUGGGGAGCCA
rnacentral:tRNA from 1 species